UUCAAUAAUUAAAAACAUAUUUUAACGUCAAAUGAAUAAAAUUCAAGAUUAAUGAUUCAUAAUAUAAGGUUCAUCGCAAAUCCUAGCACGAAAAGAUCUAGCCUAACAUAACGGCAAAAUUAAAUAAAUAAAAGUGGAACGACAUCACCAAUAAUUGACGAAACGUGAUCAACAUCCAAAUUCCUUUUACAAAGAAAUCUGAAAUUAUUCCUUCAGCAGCCUUCUGCUCAUCUCCAAUUCUAUGCGUGAAUAUAUAUAUAUAUAUAUAUAAUCUUCCAAAUCAGCCGCCCACUUUUGUAUUUCCAUUCCAGCUGCUGACCUCUCAAGUUGUUUUGUAUAUGAUAUACACAAUUCAGCACUUCAAUUUCUUUAAUUCCAGCCACCUUUUUGUGCAUAUAAUAUUCCAAUUCCCAUCUCCUUGCUAUGGCUUUCUGUGGGUGUGUCAAUAUAUAAUUCAACUUUUGCAACCCACUUAAUUCACUCCCAGCUGCUGGCCGACAAAAUCAAUUCAACCGCUUAAUCUCUCGGCUUUUCCUGUAUGGAAUUCUACAAUUAAUUCUCAGCCCAAGUUUUAAUUCCCCAAAGCAGCUGGCCGAAUUUUCUCCCCUUUUUCUGCCGUCU
rnacentral:lncRNA from 1 species